GACAGAGGUGCCGAGCGUUAGGCGGAAUCACUGGGCUUAAAGCGUGUGUAGGCGGAUGCCUAAGUACCUUGUGAAAUCCCACGGCUUAACCGUGGAACUGCUUGGUAUACUGGGUGUCUUGAGCCACUUAGGGGCGACCGGAACAAACGGUGGAGCGGUGAAAUGCGUAGAUAUCGUAAGGAAGACCAGUGGCGAAGGCGGGUCUCUGGACAGUUCCUGACGCUGAGGCACGAAGGUCAGGGAGCAAACGGG
rnacentral:rRNA from 1 species